rnacentral:rRNA from 1 species
CCAGAGCUUAACUCUGGAACUGCCAUCAAAACUUUUUAGCUAGAGUAUGAUAGAGGAAAGCAGAAUUUCUAGUGUAGAGGUGAAAUUCGUAGAUAUUAGAAAGAAUACCAAUUGCGAAGGCAGCUUUCUGGAUCAUUACUGACACUGAGGAACGAAAGCAUGGGUAGCGAAGAGGAUUAGAUACCCUCGUAGUCCAUGCCGUAAACGAUGUGUGUUAGACGUUGGAAAUUUAUUUUCUGUGUCGCAGCGAAAGCAAUAAACACACCGCCUGGGGAGUACGACCGCAAGGUUAAAACUCAAAUGAAUUGACGGGGACCCGCACAAGUAGUGGAGCAUGUGGUUUAAUUCGAAGAUACGCGCAGAACCUUACCAACACUUGACAUGUUCGUCGCGACUUUAAGAGAUUAAAGUUUUCGGUUCGGCCGGACGAAACACAGGUGCUGCAUGGCUGUCGUCAGCUCGUGUCGUGAGAUGUUGGGUUAAGUCCCGCAACGAGCGCAACCCUCACUUUUAGUUGCCAUCAUUUAGUUGGGCACUCUGAAAGAACUGCCAGUGAUAAGCUGGAGGAAGGUGGGGAUGACGUCAAGUCCUCAUGGCCCUUACGUGUUGGGCUACACACGUGCUACAAUGGCAUUUACAAUAGGAAGCAAGACGGCGACGUUAAGCAAAUCCUAAAAAAAUGCCUCAGUUCGGAUUGUACUCUGCAACUCGAGUACAUGAAGCUGGAAUUACUAGUAAUCGCGGAUCAGCGCGCCGCGGUGAAUACGUUCCCGGGUCUUGUACACACCGCCCGUCACACCAUGGGAGUUGGUUCUACCUUAAGGCAAAGUUUAAUACCUUUGACCACGGUAUAGUCAGCGACUGGGGUGAAGUCGUAACAAGGUAGCCGUAGGGGAACCUGCGGCUG